rnacentral:rRNA from 1 species
GAUGAACGCUGGCUACAGGCUUAACACAUGCAAGUCGAGGGGAAACGACGGGGAAGCUUGCUUCCCCGGGCGUCGACCGGCGCACGGGUGAGUAACGCGUAUCCAACCUGCCUCUGACUGAGGGAUAACCCGUCGAAAGUCGGCCUAAUACCUCAUGGCAUCGUCUGCGGGCAUCCAACGACGAUUAAAGAUUUCAUCGGUCAGAGAUGGGGAUGCGUCUGAUUAGCUUGUUGGCGGGGUAACGGCCCACCAAGGCGACGAUCAGUAGGGGUUCUGAGAGGAAGGUCCCCCACAUUGGAACUGAGACACGGUCCAAACUCCUACGGGAGGAAGCAGUGAGGAAUAGUGGUCAAUGGGCGAGAGCCUGAACCAGCCAAGUAGCGUGCAGGAUGACGGCCCUAUGGGUUGUAAACUGCUUUUAUGCGGGGAUAAAGUGAGGGACGUGUCCUUCAUUGCAGGUACCGCAUGAAUAAGGACCGGCUAAUUCCGUG